GAAGAGCUGCCUUGAAGAAGAGAUUUAUAGAAAUUGCGGGCGUGACGAGCAGAGAAGAUUCUCAGUGCAACCUUAAAAGGGGAAGAGGAAGAAAAUAUCCUCACUGCUCUGUUCUUUGUGGUGAUCAUGGUGGUACUGAAGAAGCUGCUGUUGACUCCAGACAGCACCUUGAAAGACAGAAGUCCUUGUGUCCACUUUCUCUGGCCUGUGUACAAGUGCAGAAGAUCUGUAGAAGAUAAAAAGCCAAGGACCUGGGCGUAAGUUCAAACAAAAGUGGUAAUGGCCACUAGUUUUUGGGGCAUGAGUGGAGAUUGAGAAGUCCUUUGCUACCACUAAGACGUGAUUGAUCUUUAUGCCAUUGAGGCUCAGGCCUAGGGUCUGAGUAGUACAAGCAAAUGAUUAACAAAGCAACAACAACUGAUGCUCAGACACACACCGAUUGUAUUUAUAAAGGGUUGUUC
rnacentral:lncRNA from 1 species